GUGAAUCAUCGAAUCUUUGAACGCAAAUUGCACUCCCUGGUAUUCCGGGGAGUAUGCCUGUUUGAGGGUCGUUAGAAUAAAAAAUCGAUGCGGCGCUCUUUUUUUAAGGGUGAUCGCGUCUUAAUUUAGUCGUCUUUACAUGUUAAUUCAUGUCAAAUUGGCUUAAAAUUUCAUCCAUCCGGUACGAUUAAAUCGUAUUUAAGAUCAAUCUUGAUUAGUAACGCGUGGUGACGUACCAUCUCAUGUAAUACGUUUGUCUUUGCUUCGUCAG
rnacentral:misc_RNA from 1 species